rnacentral:lncRNA from 1 species
GAAACGGCGUACCCAGAGUACACAUCGUGACAGCGCUCCGCCUUCAAACCGAGGGCCUUUUGCAAGGCGCAUGGACUGCUCAUAUAAAGGUUACAGUCAGCAUGAAGCAAUUGCAUGGGAACCGACUGGCUGUCUUGGGCCUACACGUUGCUGAAAAGACAGUGAAGACAUCCGAGCCGACAGGUAGAAAACAAGCAGAUGGCUACAGCGAUCAGUGAAGAAAUGGCUUCAUCUAUGAUGGCUCGCCAUAGGACAUUGGAAUGGAGCUACACAAAGGCAUCACCAGCCUCGCCUGUGCCCUGGAACAUUGGUUUGAAUAAGACUGUUCUUCAGUGUAGAACGACCACAAGACUAGUCACCACAUACAAGGCAUAGUGCAAGCUAUAAAUAUUGUACAGGUGGCUAGAAUAAAUGACCCUCCAUGCA